rnacentral:lncRNA from 1 species
UCAUGAAAAAAAAAUAUUUGUUUAUUUCAGGUAUGGGUGAUCCUGAGGGUUGGGUCACAGGCUGGGCCCAGCCCGACGGUUGGGUCGCAGGCUGGGUCCAGCCCGAGGGUUGGGUCGCAGGCUGGCAGCAUCCACUGAUGGAGGAGGAGGAGGAGAAAGAUGGAGGAGCAUCAGUCCACUACAUUGUCCCAUGAUCAGCCCCAGGAGGAGAUAUCAGCAGAGGAAGGAAAUACUUUAAUCCUAAACGAUGUAAGCAAAACCUCUCAUUUACACAAAAAUACACUGAUUAAGUUUAAUAUAAAAAUAGACGUCACAUUUUACUAACGCCUGUAAAAUGUCGUAGAGGAACUCCAGCAUCCACUGAUGGAGGAAGAGAAGAAAGAUGGAGGACGGGAGCGCCAGCAUCUACCAAUGGAGGAGAAGAAAGACAUUUAUUUAAACAAUGUAAGCAAAACCUCUUAUUUACACAGAAAGACAUUGAACAAUUUUUUAGUGUAAAAAUGCUGUCAUUGGUAAAAAUGUUGUAAAAUGUAAAUUGUAAAAUGUUCACCACAGUGUCCCUAAUCAGCUCCAGGAGGAGACACCAGCAGAGGAAAGAAAGACUAAUGACCAAAACAAUGUAAGUAAAACUAAAGCCUCUAAAAUGUCGUAGAGGAAUGCCAGCAUCCACUGAUGGAGGAGGAGGAGAAAGAUGGAGGAGCAUCAGUCCACUACAGUGUCCCAUAAGCAGCCCCAGGAGGAGAUAUCAGCAGAGGAAAGAAAUACUUUAAUCCUAAACAAUGUAAGCAAAACCUCUCAUUUACACAAAAAUACACUGCAUACGUUUAUUGUAAAAAUAGACGUCACGUUUUACUAACGCCUGUAAAAUGUCGUAGAGGAACGCCAGCAUCCACUGAUGGAGGAAGAGAAGAAAGAUGGAGGACGGGAGCGCCAGCAUCUACCAAUGGAGGAGAAGAAAGACAUUUAUUAAAACAAUGUAAGCAAAACCUCUCAUUUACACAAAAUAACACUGAACAUUUUUUUAUUGUAAAGAUGCUGUCAUUGGUAAAAAAAAAGAAAUAUAUGUUGCUUUACACUAAUGCUUGUAAAAUGUUCACCACAGUGUCCCUAAUCAGCUCCAGGAGGAGACACCAGCAGAGGAAAGAAAGACUAAUGACCAAAACAAUAGGAAUGCCAGCAUCCACUGAUGGAGGAGGAGGAGAAAGAUGGGGGAGCAUCAGUCCACUACAGUGUCCCAUAAGCAGCCCCAGGAGGAGAUAUCAGCAGAGGAAAGAAAUACUUUAAUCCUAAACAAUGUAAGCAAAACCUCUCAUUUACACAAAAAUACACUGAUUACGUUUAAUGUAAAAAUAGACGUCACAUUUUACUAACGCCUGUAAAAUGUCGUAGAGGAACGCCAGCAUCCACUGAUGGAGGAAGAGAAGAAAGAUGGAGGACAGGAGCGCCAGCAUCUACCAAUGGAGAAGAAAGACAUUUAUUAAAACAAUGUAAGCAAAACUUCUCAUUUACACAGAGACGUUUUACUAACGCCUGUAAUAUGUCGUAGAGGAAUGCCAGCAUCCACUGAUGGAGGAAGAGGAGAAAGAUGGAGGAGCAUCAGUCCACUACAGUGUCCCAUAAGCAGCCCCAGGAGGAGAUAUCAGCCGAGGAAAGAAAUACUUUAAUACUAAACAAUGUAAGUAAAACCUCUCAUUUACACAAAAAUACACUGAAUACGUUUAAUGUUAAAAUAGACGUCACAUUUUACUAACGCCUGUAAAAUGUCGUAGAGGAACUCCAGCAUCCACUGAUGGAGGAAGAGAAGAAAGAUGGAGGACGGGAGCGCCAGCAUCUGCCAAUGGAGGAGAAGAAAGACAUUUAUUAAAACAAUGUAAGCAAAACCUCUUCUUUACACAGAAAGACACUGAACAAUAUUUUUUUUGUAAAAAUGCUGUCAUUGGUAAAAAAAAGAAAUAUAUGUUGCUUUACACUAAU